UCGGAACCGGAGCUAAUACCGGAUAAUAUAUUGAACCGCAUGGUUCAAUAGUGAAAGACGGUUUUGCUGUCACUUAUAGAUGGAUCCGCGCCGCAUUAGCUAGUUGGUAAGGUAACGGCUUACCAAGGCAACGAUGCGUAGCCGACCUGAGAGGGUGAUCGGCCACACUGGAACUGAGACACGGUCCAGACUCCUACGGGAGGCAGCAGGC
rnacentral:rRNA from 1 species